rnacentral:rRNA from 1 species
ACACAAAUGCGCAUGGGCUGUGAGCUCGAUGUGUAGGGCGGGACACGUGGUAUCCUGUCUGAAUAUGGGGGGACCAUCCUCCAAGGCUAAAUACUCCUGACUGACCGAUAGUGAACCAGUACCGUGAGGGAAAGGCGAAAAGAACCCCGGCGAGGGGAGUGAAAAAGAACCUGAAACCGUGUACGUACAAGCAGUGGGAGCACAGGUUUACCUGUGUGACUGCGUACCUUUUGUAUAAUGGGUCAGCGACUUAUAUUCUGUAGCAAGGUUAACCGUAUAGGGGAGCCGUAGGGAAACCGAGUCUUAACCGGGCGUUAAGUUGCAGGGUAUAGACCCGAAACCCGGUGAUCUAGCCAUGGGCAGGUUGAAGGUUGGGUAA